GAUUUUAGAGGCCGUGGUUCCCAGCCACGCCCCUUUUUUUCUCGUACGGCUGUUCUCUUCAGGACAUCCUGUUCAGCUUCGUUUCGUUAGUCAAGAGAUUGACUAGAUGGUGUGACGACCAUGGCUUUGAAUUGCUCAGCCGCAACAGAUUGACCUCCCUCUUCCAAAUUUACUAUUAUUAAUUGUGUCAAAAUUGAUCUCAAGAUUGCUAAAACACUUCAAUCCUAAGAAUUUCCAUAUUUCAUUC
rnacentral:lncRNA from 1 species